rnacentral:misc_RNA from 1 species
ACGACGACGACGACGACGACGUAUGAUAAGCCCGCGCGCGCGAAAAGGGGUUGGCCGAGCUGCCGCGACAACGAGUCUCAGGAAUCGCAAAUAUUAUGAACAAGUCGCGCAGGCGCCGGCCCGAUCAAUAGGGGGUAGUUAGCUGUGGCUGGCUGGCAGCAGCAGCAGCAGCAGCAGAGUCACUCCGCCGAAGAGAGAGUGAGAGAGUGCACGACGCUCUGCAGCCCCCGCAGAAGGCAGCACAGUGUGGCUCGGUGUGUAUAUGCGUGACUCGUGUGUAAUAUAACGGGGCGGGCAGCAGCAGCAGCAGCAGCAGCAGUUGUGUGCCGCCGGGCGCCCCUCGUCGUCGACUUCCUCGUUCCAUCGUCGUCGUCGUGUGGUGUUGUGUGUUGUUCGUUUUUUCUUUUUCGUUCGGAAGGGGUUGACGAAAAAAAAAUUGUCACAAAGGUGUCGACGACGACACGGGGGAGUGCUUCAUAGUGUACUCGAAUAAUUGUUGAUCGACGAGGAAGAGUGAGCCAAGGCACACGCACGCACGCGUGCUGCUGGUGGUGUGGACAAGAUGCAGCAGCCGCCGCCGAGAAAAGUUCAAUACGCAAAAUUUCUAAAAAAUGUCCAUUCGGAGCAAUCUGCCAAGCUCCUGGCCAAGAAUCAACACGAGUGCGAUCUCCUGGAGGACAUUCGCUCGUUCACGCAUAAAAAGGCUGCGAUAGAGAAGUCCUACGCCGAGGCGUUGCUGAAGAUCUCCUCGGCCUAUCUCAACAAGAAGAUACCCAAUAUACCGGACAUCAAGACCGAUGCCGCGGACGAUCGCUGGAACAUGUGGAACGUCUGGCGCACCGUCCUCGAGGAGAACGAGAAACUCGCCCGGGCCCGCCUGGCGGCCUGCGAGGUGUUCCAGACGCAGAUAGCCGACGAGGCCAAGAGCCUGAAGCACAACAAGGUGGCGAUCGCCAAGAAAUCGGUGGACAAUCUGUGCAUCGUCCAGAAGGAGCUGCAGGCCUGCGUGCAGGACGUCGACAAGACGAAGAAGCUGUACUUCGACGAGGAGCACAGCGCGCACGACGUGCGAGACAAGGCCAAGGACAUCGAGGAGAAGCUGAAGAAGAAGAAGGGCUCGUUCUUCCAGUCGAUCACCUCGCUGCAGAAGAACAGCGCCAAGGUGACGUCGAAGCGCGACGCCCUCGAGGAGAAGUCCACGGGGGCGCGCAACGACUAUCUGCUGGCACUGGCGGCCGCCAACGCCCAUCAGAAUCGCUACUUCGUCGUCGAUCUGCAGCAGACCAUGCUCUACAUGGAGCAAGGCGUGUACGACAAGGUGGCCGAGUACCUGUCGAUCAUGGGCCGCACCGAGCUUCUGACCUGCCUCGCCAUGCAGAACAGCUUCGGCAUCAUACGCGACCAGGCGCAGCAGCUCACGCGCGAGUACAACAUCCAGUGCUGCUGCCUCUACUAUCCGGUCCUCAAGCAGCACAUACAGUACGAGUUCGAGCCGUGCGAUCACGACCAGGUGGAUCGCAUCACGGUGGAUCACGCCGCCGCCCAGACCCUGACCAAGGAGGCCAAACGCUGGGCUCAGCGCAUCGCCCGCGAGAUCAGCACGUUCAAGGAGUCCGGGCGCAAGCUCCAGGCGCUGGUGCAGCUGCGCGACUCGGGCCAGAAGACCGAUCCCAACGAUCCGAACGGGCCCGAUCUCGAGACCAAGAUCGAGGAGCUGAAGCAGACGAUGCGACGCGCCGAGACCGCCAAGAUGAAGGCCGAGGCGCGCAUCGAGUGUCUGCGCCGGGGCGGCGUCAACGUCGACGAGUUCCUGCAGGAGGUCGAGUCGCUCUCUGUGCAGGACCUGCCGCGCUCCGCGAGCUCGCUCUCGAUGCACACCGAUCACUCGGGCAACGCCGACGGCCAGCCGUCCUCGGACUCGUUCUACGACAGCGAUCAGGACGGGGCGGGCAGCGACCUCACCACCGUCGAGAGGCCAGGCGGACAGCAUCAGAGGGUCGACUCGGCCCAGAGCCAUCAUCGCCGCGAGCAGAGGGAGGACGAGGACUCGGGCGGCGACGAGAGACGCCGACUCGACAGCGCCGAGGUCGACGGUGCGAGGAAUUACCGAGACGCAGCACUGCUGGAGCAAGAGAAGCAGCGAAUCGACGAGAUCACGGCCGGCUGGGACGAUCCGACCUCGGCCGACUGGGGCCACGACGACUCCUCGGCCGCCGAGGUCGCCGAGGUGCACGCCCCGGCCGACGGCGGCAGACAAUCAGCCGGAGACACGGCCGAGAGCAGCCAGCAUCAGAACAUUUACAAGUGCACGGCCCUGUACUCGUACACGGCGCAGAAUCCGGACGAGCUGUCGAUCGUCGAGAGCGAGCAGCUGGAGGUGGUGGGCGAGGGCGACGGCGACGGCUGGCUGAGGGCGCGCAACUACCGGGGCGAGGAGGGCUACGUGCCCCAGAACUAUCUGGACGUGGAGCGCGAGCCCGAGCCCCAGGGCCAGGACGGCUUCGGCGCCGGCGACGGUGGCUUGGGUGGCGGCCUCGUGACCCAUCCCACCGGCCUCACUCAGCAGAUAUCGUUCUCCUCGGUGGACUACACCAUCGACGAUCACGACGCCGUCGAUCCGGACGCUCAUCUGCGCGAGCAGCAGGAGCUGGAGCAGCAAAGACGUCGGAUCGAGCAGGAACAGCAGCAGCAGCAAAAACAGUCACAGCCGCAGCAGCAAGUGCAUAAUCACGUGCAGCAGCAGGUGAAAAAGCAACAGCAGCAGCAAGACGGGCCGCAGUACUGCAUGGCCAUGUACGACUACGAGAAGACGAGCGAGGAGGAGCUGAGCUUCAUGGAGGGCGACGUCAUACUGAUAGUGAAGAAGGAGGGCGAGGACGUGGACGACGGCUGGUGGGAGGGCGAGCUCAACGACGUGCGCGGCGUCUUCCCCUGCAUCCUCGUCGAGGCCUGCACCGCGGACGGCACUCUCUUGUCCGACGGCGAGGAGGACGAGGAAGAACCGUUGACGCCGCCGAGCCUGACGGCGCCGCCCGCGCACACGCCACCCGAGGCACCGGACUUCAUUCUCAGCGAGGAGCUAGCCAGAUCCCUCAUGAAUGAAAUGAGAGAACGAGGAUACGUGAACGGCGAUCGGCCGGACAGCUUCAACAUCAACCUGUCGAACAAUCAGAAGGAGCAGUACGGCCAGCAGUUCGGCGAGGACAAGUCCCAGGCGCCGGGGAUCGUUAUUGACGAAGCUCCGGAUCAACCAAACAGUUCGGAUGAAGAAGAGGAGGAGGAAGACGAGGAACCCGAGGGCGUAAAGGCAGCGCGGGAGGCGAAGAAAAAGACCGCCGCUGCGGCGGAGGCCGACGACGACGCUCUCGGCGUGGCGCAGAUCGUCAUUACGGCGGCUACGCCCAUGGAGGAGAUCGAACGGCCCUUCCCAGGCGAGGAGUCGAACAACAACAACAAUAACAACAAUAACAACAACAACAACGACGAGCACGACGCGGAGCAAGAGGCAGAGCCUCAGCAGCAGCAGCAGCAGCAGGAGCCAGAAAAGCCGCCGAAGGACCCGUCGCCGGCCGAGGAGUGUCGCCGGAGCCUCCUGGAGCGGGACGACGACGAGGAGUCGGAGGACGACGAGAAGCCGGACGACCCGCAGCCGACGGACUCGGCCCCCUUCCCAGUGAGUAGCUCGUCGGGUAGCGACGCCGGCGGAGAUUCGGGCCCCAGUACCGGUGAUAAUUCCCAAUGUUUGCCUGCGCGUGCACAGACGAUGACGAUGAAGACGACGACGCAGACGGCCACAGCCACGACGACCGCGACGACGACGACGACGUCGACAGUGACGACGACGCACCAACAGCAGCAGCGCCAGGAGAGCCUCGAAGAUGAGACGUCGGAGUCGUCGUCGCCGCCGCCGGACGGCGCGGCCAAGAUGCUCGUGGGCGGCCGUCGCAGCAUACCCGACGAGCUGCAGCCCGACCAGCUGCAGGCACUGCAGUCGCUCAAGGAGUCGAACGCCUAGGGCUGACUAAACCUCGGCGUCAUGCUCGUCGUCAUCAUCAUCCUCGUUAUCAAUCUGAUGCUGCUGACCAUCGACAGGAGACGUAGACGCUCGCCUACUGCCUUAAUCAAGGGCGCCGCCUGAGAGUAAUACAAUUAUACACUAUACUAAUUGCUACGAUACGCUGUGCGACGAGGACGAAGGGAAAGAAACAAACGAGAAGCAAAUCGAACGUUAUACAUAUUAGCGAAUAUAUUAGUUGGUUAUAUAUAUAUUGUAUUUAAUCGAGAGGCAAAGAGAAAAAACUGCGCGCUCGGAACCUACGCGAGGUGUGUGCGUGUGUAUGUAAUGAUAGCAAAAAUCAUUGAAAAAAAUGACAAAAAAAAUGAGGAAGAAGAAGAAGAAGAAGAAGGGAAUGAAAAAUCUAAAGCAGCAACGACACUGUCGCGCAUCUCUCAUGAAACCAAAAAUAUCAUUAACAAAAAAAUAAAAUAAAAAGUAAAAUAAGCAACAUUUGCUAGGCGUGUUUGUGUCAUAUAAUGUAAUAACGUGUAUCAAGCCUGUAUAUCUCAGACUUUCUCUCUCGCCCACUCUCUAUCUCUCUAAUCUAAAGCUCUAAACUUUACCUCACGUUUAAUCACCAAACAAUUCACCAUUGUAUUAUCCUCAUUAAUCAUUCAUCAUGUUUCCAUUCAACCCACCAAUUUUAGCUAAAAUGGAUUGAAUAUUUAUAGAAACAGAUAGAAAGCCAAUAAGUAAAAA